rfam:Clostridium sp. JC272 contig174, whole genome shotgun sequence.
AAGUCUUUUAAACUAGUCCAGAGAGGCUGGGAAAGAUAUCAUCAUAACAAAAAAUCGUUAUGAAAUAUUGAAUCCUUACACCUCUAUAGGUGUAAGGAUUUUUAUG